rnacentral:misc_RNA from 1 species
GCGGAAUGCUAUUUGCAACUCAAGGAAGAACUUGAUAAGCUUAUUGAAAACAAACUUCAGAACCCGGGACUCGAUAUUCUCAAGGAAGGCAAGUACCUUGUUCUUUCUGUUCAAGAGUUGGUGUCAGGUGACCAAUGCGAAGGGAGAUUUGUCUUUGGUCGGGACAGUAAGAAGCAAGCGUCUGGCAACGACAAAUUCACAAAG